UACGUAGGGUGCAAGCGUUGUCCGGAAUUACUGGGCGUAAAGAGCUCGUAGGUGGUUUGUCGCGUUGUUCGUGAAAACUCACAGCUCAACUGUGGGCGUGCGGGCGAUACGGGCAGACUGGAGUACUGCAGGGGGAGACUGGAAUUCCUGGUGUAGCGGUGGAAUGCGCAGAUAUCAGGAGGAACACCGGUGGCGAAGGCGGGUCUCUGGGCAGUAACUGACGCUGAGGAGCGAAAGCGUGGGGAGCGAACAGG
rnacentral:rRNA from 1 species